rnacentral:tRNA from 1 species
AGAAAUUUAAGUUAACGCCAAACUAGGAGCCUUCAAAGCCCCAAAUAGGGAAUAAGCCCCCCUAAUUUCUG